UACAAAUCUGCUACCCUACUGUGAAUUAGA
rnacentral:piRNA from 1 species